GACGAACCGAGCGACCGUUGUCCGGAAUCACUGGGCGUAAAGGGCGCGUAGGCGGCGCGGUAAGCGUGCGGUGAAAGCCCGGGGCUCAACCCCGGGUCGGCCGUGCGGACUGCCGGGCUGGAGCACUGUAGAGGCAGGUGGAAUUCCGGGUGUAGCGGUGGAAUGCGUAGAGAUCCGGAAGAACACCGGUGGCGAAGGCGGCCUGCUGGGCAGUAGCUGACGCUGAAGCGCGACAGCGUGGGGAGCAAACAGG
rnacentral:rRNA from 1 species